UCCAGCCCUCGUCGACGAGGGUGUACUGCCAGCCGUUGCGGGCGGCGAAGUCCACGUACUGCUUCUGGCGUUCGAAGUCGCCGGGGCUGGAG
rnacentral:tRNA from 1 species